AGGCUGCGGAAUUCAGGAC
rnacentral:miRNA from 1 species